rnacentral:piRNA from 1 species
UGAAAAUGCCCAAGUUCAGUAUGCCU